rnacentral:rRNA from 1 species
UACCAAGCUGAUAAGGGCGUACGGUGGAUGCCUAGGCGCUAGGAGCCGACGAAGGACGCGGUAGGCUGCGAAAAGCUCGGGGGAGGAGCCAAACAUCCAUUGAUCCCGAGAUGUCCGAAUGGGGGAACCCACCAGUGGUCAUGCGCUGGUACCCAGGUCUGAACACAUAGGGCCUGUGGAGGGAACCGGGGGAAUUGAAACAUCUAAGUACCCCGAGGAAGAGAAAGUAAAUAACGAGUCCCUGAGUAGCGGCGAGCGAAACGGGAUCAGCCCAAACCUUUGUGGUGUCAAAGCCUUGCAGCGUUGCCACAAGGGGGUCGUGGGACCCAUCGGACCGGGUGCAAGACCGGUCAGGGAGUUACAAAGUCAGCGGUUAGCCGAACUUUCUGGAAAGUUAGGCCAAAGAAGGUAAUAGCCCUGUAGGCGAAAGCCGACUGACCUCCCGAUGGUGUUCCCAAGUAACACGGAGCCCGAGAAAUUCCGUGUGAAUUUGCGAGGCCCACCUCGUAAGGCUAACUACUUCCUAGCGACCGAUAGUGAACCAGUACCGUGAGGGAAAGGUGAAAAGUACCCCGGGAGGGGAGUGAAAUAGCACCUGAAACCGUGCGCUUACAAGCAGUCGGAGGAUCUGCAUGGGUUCGCCCAUGCAUCUGACGGCGUGCCUUUUGAAGAAUGAGCCGGCGAGUUAUCGAUGUGUGGCGAGGUUAAGGCGUGAGCCGAAGCCGGAGGGAAACCGAGUCUGAAUAGGGCGUCUUAGUCGCAUGUCAUAGACCCGAAGCCGGGUGAUCUAUCCAUGGGCAGGUUGAAGCGAGGGUAAGACCUCGUGGAGGACCGAACCCACCAGGGUUGAAAACCUGGGGGAUGACCUGUGGAUAGGGGUGAAAGGCCAAUCAAACCCGGUGAUAGCUGGUUCUCCCCGAAAUGCAUUUAGGUGCAGCGUCACGCGUUCAGUACCGGUGGUAGAGCACUGGAUGGGCUAGGGGGCCAACAAGCUUACCGAACUCAGCCAAACUCCGAAUGCCGGUACUCCAGAGCGUGGCAGUGAGACUGCGGGGGAUAAGCUCCGUAGUCGAGAGGGAAACAGCCCAGAUCGCCAGCUAAGGUCCCUAAAUCUUUGCUAAGUGGAAAAGGAUGUGAAGUCGCCCAGACAGCCAGGAGGUUGGCUUAGAAGCAGCCACCCUUGAAAGAGUGCGUAACAGCUCACUGGUCGAGUGAUUUUGCGCCGAUAAUGUAGCGGGGCUAAGCAAAGUACCGAAGCUGCGGCAUUGCUCACUUCGGUGAGUGAUGGGUAGGGGAGCGUUGUAACAACUGCGAAGCUGUUCCGUGAGGGGCGGUGGAGUGGUUACAAGUGCGAAUGCCGGCAUGAGUAGCGAAAGGGGAGCGAGAAACUCCCCCACCGUAUGUCCAAGGGUUCCUGGGGAAGGUUAAUCCGCCCAGGGUAAGUCGGGACCUAAGCCGAGGCCGAGAGGCGUAGGCGAUGGACAACUGGUUGAUAUUCCAGUACCACCACACGCGCGCCCACGCCGAAGCGAGUUGCUAAGGGAAGCCCUUCGGGGCCUACCGACCCACUCGCCUAGGCGAGCAAUGGGGUGACGGAGGAGGGUAGUCGGACCCACGCGUUGGUUGACGUGGGGUAAGCAGGUAGGAGGGUCCCCUAGGCAAAUCCGGGGGACCGCUAACUCCGAGACGCGAUGCCGACCCGCUUGAGGGGAAGCCGAUGAGCCCAUGCUCCCGAGAAAAGCCUCUAGCGAGCUCGUGUGGUGCCCGUACCCCAAACCGACUCAGGUGGACAGGUAGAGCAUAC